GACAGGCUGGUGAACACAGUGGAGCAUUUAAUGGCUAAAGAUGUUUUUCGCAGGAGUUCACAGAGACCAAAACUGAGCUAUAUUGGGAGAGAAAAUAUUGGACCAACAUUCAUCAGGUGGACAAAAUGAAUGAUAAUGUUGCUUUGUAACUGCUGGAUGUGUAAGUUAGCAACUAUUUGCUAAUGUUUGCCAUGUGAGUUUACAGCAGAAGGUGACAAAACGUCAAAUUGUAUUCACACCGUGGAUCUGCUGUCCCCUCUAUCAGAAGUGGGCAGCGUUGAUGCUGCCGGUGACGAUUCAGUGCUGGAAUGAGAGCUGCCCUGGGGCAGAGUUUCUGCUUCGGUCUGCAGGGUGGUGGUGGAGGGAGGAGAUCCAGGGGGAACAGUGGAAGCUUUGAGAGAGCAGAACGGAGGAUGACUGGCAAGGAAUACUCUAAGUCUUACCAGCAGACUGAAGAAAAGGAGUUUGAUAGAACAGUCCUGCAAAAACUUACCAUCUAGGACUAUGAGAUUGAUCUCCUGGUACAGCACACUAAAGGUUUUCCCCACGCCACAGCAAUAUCUCCCUGCAUCCGACCUC